AGAGGCAGUGGCAUCAUUGUGUCACUGAGAUGCCAGGUUCUGUUUCCUCAAAGCAGGAUUGGAAAAGACAAGGCUGUUCCUUGGGCCCAAAAUGGGCAGCAGGCUCUGCUUCUGUAUGGCCCUUCAUGUCCUGUGGGCAGGAUCCAUGGAUGCUAGAAUCACCCAGAGCCCAAGACACAAGGUCACAAUGGUGGGAAAGACUGUGACUCUGAGGUGCCAACAGACAUACAAACAUGACUACAUGUACUGGUACCGACAAGACCUGGGACAUGGGCUGAGGCUGAUCCAUUACUCAUAUGAUGUCAAUGACACUCAGAAAGGAGACAUCCCUGAUGGGUACAGCGUUUCUAGAUCAAACACAGAGGAUUUCCCCCUCACUCUGGAGUCGCCCACCCGCUCCCAGACAUCUGUGUACUUCUGUGCUAGCAGUUACACCACAGUGCUGCACGGCUGCCUCUUCCCUGCACACAAAGUGUCACUGGAAAGACCUAGGUUUCCCAGUGCUCAGAUGUCCUGGACACACACUGGGAAGUCCUAG